rnacentral:rRNA from 1 species
GAACGAACGCUGGCGGCGCGCCUAAUACAUGCAAGUCGAGCGAGAAGACGUAGCAAUACGUUUGUAAAGCGGCGAACGGGUGAGGAAUACAUGGGGUAACCUACCCUCGAGUGGGGAAUAACUAGCCGAAAGGUUAGCUAAUACCGCGUACGCUCCUUGGACUUCGGUUCAGGGAGGAAAGCGAUACCGUGGGUAUCGCGCUCUUGGAUGGGCUCAUGUCCUAUCAGCUUGUUGGUGAGGUAACGGCUCACCAAGGCUUCGACGGGUAGCUGGUCUGAGAGGACGGAUCAGCCACACUGGCACUGCGACACGGGCCCAGACUCCUACGGGAGGCAGCAGUAAGGAAUAUUGCGCAAUGGGCGAAAGCCUGACGCAGCGACGCCGCGU